CUGCUGCCUUCCGUAGGAGUCUGGGCCGUGUCUCAGUCCCAGUGUGGCCGUCCACCCUCUCAGGCCGGCUGCUGAUCGUCGCUUUGGUGGGCUGUUACCCCGCCAACUGGCUAAUCAGACGCGGGCCCAUCCUGUACCACCGGAGUUUUCAAAGGAUUACCAUGCGGUAUUCCCUAUUAUGCGGUAUUAGCACCUAUUUCUAAGUGUUAUCCCCCGGUACAGGGCAGGUUGCCCACGCGUUACUCACCCGUCCGCCACUAAGACAG
rnacentral:rRNA from 1 species